UACGAAGGUUGCUAGCGUUGUUCGGAAUUACUGGGCGUAAAGCGCACGUAGGCGGAUUAGUAAGUCAGGGGUGAAAUCCCGGUGCUCAACCUCGGAACUGACUUUGAUACUGCUGAUCUCGAGUCCGGAAGAGUUGAGUGGAAUUCCUAGUGUAGAGGUGAAAUUCGUAGAUAUUAGGAAGAACACCAGUGGCGAAGGCGGCUCACUGGUCCGGUACUGACGCUGUGGUGCCAAAGCGUGGGGAGCAAUCAGG
rnacentral:rRNA from 1 species